UACAGAGGUCUCAAGCGUUGUUCGGAUUCAUUGGGCGUAAAGGGGGCGUAGGCGGCUCGGUAAGUCGGGUGUGAAAUCUCGGAGCUUAACUCCGAAACUGCAUUCGAUACUGCCGUGCUUGAGGACUGGAGAGGAGACUGGAAUUUACGGUGUAGCGGUGAAAUGCGUAGAUAUCGUAAGGAAGACCAGUGGCGAAGGCGGGUCUCUGGACAGUUCCUGACGCUGAGGCACGAAGGACAGGGGAGCAAACGGG
rnacentral:rRNA from 1 species